AGGACGAACGCUGGCGGCGUGCUUAACACAUGCAAGUCGAACGGAAAGGCCCUUUCGGGGGUACUCGAGUGGCGAACGGGUGAGUAACACGUGGGUGAUCUGCCCUGCACUUUGGGAUAAGCCUGGGAAACUGGGUCUAAUACCGAAUACACCUUGCUGGCUGCAUGGCCUGGUGGGGAAAGCUUUUGCGGUGUGGGAUGGGCCCGCGGCCUAUCAGCUUGUUGGUGGGGUGAUGGCCUACCAAGGCGACGACGGGUAGCCGGCCUGAGAGGGUGUCCGGCCACACUGGGACUGAGAUACGGCCCAGACUCCUACGGGAGGCAGCAGUGGGGAAUAUUGCACAAUGGGCGCAAGCCUGAUGCAGCGACGCCGCGUGAGGAUGACGGCCUUCGGGUUGUAAACCUCUUUCAGUAUCGACGAAGCGCAAGUGACGGUAGGUACAGAAGAAGCACCGGCCAACUACGUGCCAGCAGCCGCGGU
rnacentral:rRNA from 1 species